rnacentral:tRNA from 1 species
GGAUGGGUGGCAGAGCGGUUGAAUGCACCGGUCUUGAAAACCGGCGUGGGCACAAGUCCACCGCGGGUUCGAAUCCCGCCCCAUCCGCCA